ACCCGCACAAGCGGUGGAUGAUGUGGAUUAAUUCGAUGCAACGCGAAAACCUUACUACCCUUGACAUGUCCGGAAUCCUGCAGAGAUGCGGGAGUGCCGAAAGGGAAUCGGAACACAGGUGCUGCAUGGCUGUCGUCAGCUCGUGUCGUGAGAUGUUGGGUUAAGUCCCGCAACGAGCGCAACCCUUAUCAUUAGUUGCUACGCAAGGGCACUCUAAUGAGACUGCCGGUGACAAACCGGAGGAAGGUGGGGAUGACGUCAAGUCCUCAUGGCCCUUAUGGGUAGGGCUUCACACGUCAUACAAUGGUCGGUACAGAGGGUUGCCAAGCCGCGAGGUGGAGCCAAUCCCAGAAAGCCGAUCGUAGUCCGGAUUGUUCUCUGCAACUCGAGAGCAUGAAGUCGGAAUCGCUAGUAAUCGCGGAUCAGCAUGUCGCGGUGAAUACGUUCCCGGGUCUU
rnacentral:rRNA from 1 species